ensembl:lncRNA
AGACCACAUUUCCUUCUCGACUCCAGUCAGUGCUGAAGUAAUUUAUGUUACUUACUCCUUGUGGCAAGGGCUGGGAGGGGACUUUCUUCACACCCUGAGCUGAAUCCAGUUAAAGGAAGCUGAAGAGUCUGUCUAUUCAAACUUGAGCAAUAACUAGUCCUGAAGCAGAAUUUUACAUAGAAGCACUUCUGGUGAAAAUGCAGAAUAAUCUGUUUCCUCCGCUGCUUGAAACGCAACAUGGAAAUAGUAAAAGGGAUGCAAAGUAGGCAGAAGCUACACAACUAUCUCUUGCAAGAAGCUAACUUUGGCAUUAGAUACUGCAAGAGUACAGACUUGCUAAACUGAUGAAGCUUUCCUACUGCUGUGUUUCAAUGAAACUUGGUUUCUUUUGAAAAUUAGGGCCAUCAUUUAUUGAGAUUUUUGAAAAUCCUGCCUUUUGUUAAACUUCCACUGAUGUGAAAACAACGCAUUUGAAGAAAGCACAUGGCAACAUGCUUUUCUGAGUUGAAGUAACAGAUGAUGAUGAUCAUGUUGCAGCAGACGGAUGGCUGGACCCAUCGUGCUUGUAUCCAUCUCGGACCCAUUCCCGUUAAGACACAAGUGCAGCCUGACUUAUGGAAUCAAACUCUAUAACCACAAGGCAUAGACAAACCUUUGUCACACAUAAUUCUUUACCUUUGAGGAAGGAGGGUGAACUAAGAACAGAUGACCACUCGCUGCACCAGAACAAGGAGCUGAGGCAGUCUGUGAGAACUGUAUUUGAUAGAACGGAAUCAGCCAUUCAGCAUUUUCCGCAGUCUCUGCAAUGUUCUUAUUUAGCUUUCCCUACAUUCAAAGAGUCAAAAGUAGUUUUGCUUCUGGAAUUGUAUUGGAAAAAUAAAAGCAGUUGUGUCAAAGAUCUUCUGUGAUAGGAAACAGUGUCUUUUUCAUAUUUAGAAGCUGAAAAUAGAAGGAUUUUAUGAAGAGAGUUAAAAGCACUAACUUAGCCUUGAAAACACUAAUUUGAAUGACUAAUACUUCAACAAAAUUAAAGUUUUACAUUCUUUAGAGAGUUGAUAUAUCUUCAGCUGUCAACAUGAUAGACUGUCACAGACUGUUUUUCACAGAUGACAGAAAUAAAUCUUUCAGCAGUGGUCUAGACCCAGUAUGUGUUCUACAGGACUCUAUACAGUAGUAAAUUGAAUAGAGGAUGAAAGAAGAAGUGGGUGAGCGAUAACAAGACGAAGGGCAUAUGACAGUCACUUUUGGUACUUGUUUUCCCUGUCCUGCAUUAACAAUUUCUGAAAACAGUAUGUUGUUCCCAACUACACUGGCAGGCCACUUUUUGCAAAUCCAUGUUUCAGUACAUCUGCCCUAGAUCAUCAAUCUUAUGCUGAAAAAGUAGGAAAGAUAAAAUAAAUUAGAGAGGAAAGCUAUCUUAUUCCAGUACCUGAUAAUUUGAUGUUAUUCUUAAAGCUGUGGUGCAUCUUCCCAAGGGAGUUUCGUGAGGAAUGAAAGCAAGGUAUCCGGUAAAGCAAGUAAUUAGAGCUUCCUGACAGAUCAAGGAAGGAGGCUGAUGUAAAGACUGAAACAUGAUUAUCUCAGCCUUGAAAUUAACAGCAUAUGACCUAUGUGUUUUGGGCUUACUUACUAACUGCUUUCAGCACUGUGCAUGAUUAACUCCUGGUAAGCACUGAUGCGCGUUCUCUGUAGUUGGAAGCUUUAUCAAGAAUAGAAUGUAUGCUUUCAACGAUUAUCUGAAUGCAAUCAGUCUUUUUUUUUUUUUUCCCCUAAGAUGGAUAGUGAAAGAGAGUUCUUACAAUUAAAAAGCUGAGAAAAAUUGAGAGGUUCAGGCUCUCUAUGGGCAUGUAUGUUACUCUGAGAUCAGUAUUACUUUUAAGAAUAAAAGAAAACCUUGUGAUGUUUUAUUU